UACGGAGGGGGCUAGCGUUGUUCGGAAUUACUGGGCGUAAAGCGCGCGUAGGCGGAUCUGCAAGUCGGGGGUGAAAUCCCGAGGCUCAACCUCGGAACUGCCUUCGAUACUGCGGGUCUCGAGUCCGGGAGAGGUGAGUGGAAUUCCUAGUGUAGAGGUGAAAUUCGUAGAUAUUAGGAAGAACACCAGUGGCGAAGGCGGCUCACUGGCCC
rnacentral:rRNA from 1 species